rnacentral:sRNA from 1 species
CGUCGUCAAUUGAGCUCGAUAACAAUAGUCACAAUUCAUCAGGAACUCUCACAAAUCGAUGCGUUUCUAAUUUCCUACACUUGAGAGAUGGGCCUCGGCUACGAGUUCUUAUCGCGCACCGAUCCAAUCGCCGACUGAGCCGCGAUCCGUUCCACGAUUUUUGUCGCGACGCUUGGCUCACAGUCAGCUCUGAUCUUUCUCAUUUGUUUGUAUAUAUGUUGAGUGUUUUCGGGCUGGGGCUGACUUGAAAUAGUGCAGACAUUAACACAAAGCUGGAGCGUCGAAAAGACUGUCCGCUGCUCGAGAGCUGAAUGUCUAGAAUGACUGUGGAGUGCUUGAAUUUGAGACUCGGAGUGCCACUCAGAGAGUGAGACAUUGAGUGAGUCUCGCUGAAUGAGAGAGUGUACAGUCAAGCGAAGCGAGGCAGGUACUGAAUCAGUCAGUGAAGUGCUCUUACACAAAUUGAGUCAGCACUACCUUAGAUAUAAAUAUAUAUAUAAA